CACGAGGGGUGCAAGCGUUGUUCGGAAUCACUGGGCGUAAAGGGCGCGUAGGCGGCCUUGCAAGCAGGGGGUUUAAUUUCGGGGCCCAACCCCGGAGCCGCCCCCUGAACUGCUUGGCUUGAGUCUUUCAGGGGCAGUUGGAAUACCUGGUGUAGCGGUGGAAUGCGUAGAUAUCAGGUAGAACACCAGUGGCGAAGGCGAACUGCUGGGAAAUGACUGACGCUGAGGCGCGAAAGUGUGGGGAGCGAACAGGAUUAGAUACCCUGGUAGUCCACACCGUAAACGAUGUCAACUAGUCGUCUGGACUCUGUCUGGGUGACGCAGCUAACGCAUUAAGUUGACCGCCUGGGGAGUACGCUCGCAAGAGUG
rnacentral:rRNA from 1 species